AAAACAGGAGGAUGGCAUGGACAUGGUGCCCUAUCAGAAAAACAAGAGGCUUUUCUCUAAUGGAGCUUUAACUGAAUUAAAUUCUCCUCCAUCUCUACAAUGAAGUGGCUGCAGCGUACCAGACGGUGAUGGAGCAGAGAAGGUGAAGAGGGACUAAGGUGGUGUAGAAGUGCACCGUCAUUGACUUUGGCAGGUUGAAAUUUUUCCGCUGCUGCAGGAAGUACAUGCUUUGCUGAGCCUACUUGGUAACAACAACGUCCUGUUAAUUCAAGACACUGUUGGAAUGUACCGUUUGGUUGCACAAUCUCGUAGCAGCAGAGCAUACUCUGAUGGAGCAGCCAACAACAGUGCCAUGGACUCUUGAUGAGAAGUCAAGGUGCCCAGGGACCAUUUCUCAAAGAAGACAACAUAAAGGACUGAAUGUAUCUGUCGCCAGGAUAUGGCCAAUCACAUCCAAGACAGCCAAUAUUCUCACAGUGAAUA